rnacentral:rRNA from 1 species
CCUUUAGGUCAGUCUACCGUCCGAGUCGGCGGUAGCACAGGAGUGCUUGCUCUCGGGUGACGAGUGGCGGACGGGUGAGUAAUGUCUGGGAAACUGCCUGAUGGAGGGGGAUAACUACUGGAAACGGUAGCUAAUACCGCAUAACGUCGCAAGACCAAAGAGGGGGACCUUCGGGCCUCUUGCCAUCAGAUGUGCCCAGAUGGGAUUAGCUAGUAGGUGGGGUAACGGCUCACCUAGGCGACGAUCCCUAGCUGGUCUGAGAGGAUGACCAGCCACACUGGAACUGAGACACGGUCCAGACUCCUACGGGAGGCAGCAGUGGGGAAUAUUGCACAAUGGGCGCAAGCCUGAUGCAGCCAUGCCGCGUGUAUGAAGAAGGCCUUCGGGUUGUAAAGUACUUUCAGCGGGGAGGAAGGCAGUAAGGUUAAUAACCUUGUUCAUUGACGUUACCCGCAGAAGAAGCACCGGCUAACUCCGUGCCAGCAGCCGCGGUAAUACGGAGGGUGCAAGCGUUAAUCGGAAUUACUGGGCGUAAAGCGCACGCAGGCGGUCUGUCAAGUCGGAUGUGAAAUCCCCGGGCUCAACCUGGGAACUGCAUUCGAAACUGGCAGGCUGGAGUCUUGUAGAGGGGGGUAGAAUUCCAGGUGUAGCGGGUGAAAUGCGUAGAGAUCUGGAGGAAUACCCGGUGGCGAAUGCGCCCCCUGACAAAGACUGACGCUCAGUGCGAAAGCGUGGGGGAGCAAACAGAUUAGAAACUCUGUGAUGAUAUUACCAA